CUCUCUCUGAACGAGCUUUCCGCCAGACCCCCCACACCGCAGAACCUCAUCUCCCCACUUGGAUUCUUCCCUCUGGCCUCUCUCUGCACCUCCCAGUCUCUCAGGCUGCAGGGAAGACAGUGGGCAUUCAGGCUGAGCGUGCUUGACAAAAGCCUCCCGAGAUCUUUCAAACAAGAAGAGGGUUUGGCUGGGAGAAACUGAUAAGAACAAGUCUCCUCCUCCGUACUACAAGAAUAUCAGUGCAGGCUUCCAGAUAUUCAAAGAAUCCAUGGAGGGCACCUAUAUAGGAAAAACAAAAUGCCCCAUACACUCCUAAUAUCUCCGCCACAUGAGGGGGCCACCCAGCGUGGUGACCGAGUUGAGG
rnacentral:lncRNA from 1 species